rnacentral:lncRNA from 1 species
UGUGCAAUGAACCGUGCAAUUGAGUUCAUGGUCAAAUAAACCUGCGGGACUGACAUAUAGAUCAUAAUAUAUUUCCAUACACCAAAUAUAGCUGACCUUUGGCAUAUAAUACUAGAUAAAAAGACCAAAACUUACAAACUUAACUUUGACCACUGAACCAUGAAAAUGAGGUCAAGGUCAGAUGACAUCUGCUCGCUAGGCAUGUACACCUUACAAUCAUUCCAUACAACAAAUAUAGUAGACCUAUUGCAUAAAGUAUGAGAAAAACAGACCAAAACACAAAAACUUAACUAUAACCACUGAACCAUGAAAAUGAGGUCAAGGUCAGAUGACACCUGCCAGUUGGACAUGUACACCUUCCAGUCCUUCCAUGCAACAAAUAUACUAGCCCUAUUGCUUAUAGAAUCUGAGAUAUGGACUUGACCACCAAAACUUAACCUUGUUCAUUGAUCCAUGAAAUGAGGUCGAGGUCAAGUGAAAACUGUCUGACGGGCAUGAGGACCUUGC